CCUACGGGAGGCAGCAGUGGGGAAUAUUGGACAAUGGGCGAAAGCCUGAUCCAGCAAUGCCGCGUGAGUGAUGAAGGCCUUAGGGUUGUAAAGCUCUUUUACCAGGGAUGAUAAUGACAGUACCCGGAGAAUAAGCUCCGGCUAACUCCGUGCCAGCAGCCGCGGUAAUACGGAGGGAGCUAGCGUUGUUCGGAAUUACUGGGCGUAAAGCGUACGUAGGCGGUUAUUCAAGUCAGAGGUGAAAGCCUGGAGCUCAACUCCAGAACUGCCUUUGAAACUAGAUAGCUAGAAUCUUGGAGAGGUGAGUGGAAUUCCGAGUGUAGAGGUGAAAUUCGUAGAUAUUCGGAAGAACACCAGUGGCGAAGGCGACUCACUGGACAAGUAUUGACGCUGAGGUACGAAAGCGUGGGGAGCAAACAGGAUUAGAUACCCUGGUAGUCCACGCCGUAAAACGAUGAUAACUAGCUGUUCGGGCUCUAACGAGCUUGUAGUGGCGCGAGACGUAACGACAUUAAGUUAAUUCCGUCCGUCGGGAGGUACGGUCGGCGAAGAAGUUAAAACGUUAAAAGGUAAAGUUAGUUACGGCGUGUUAGACGUAGCCGACGGACGACGACGAGGGAGGAGG
rnacentral:rRNA from 1 species